GCGGACUGCGCAGACUCAGGACGAUGGAAAGCCUUGUCCUUGCGAUCCUUUGGAGCUGCUCCUCCACGUGUCCCCCCACCGUGAUGGACUCUUCCCUCCUUGCUAUUGUCCGGGAAUUGGUCACAGAGGCUCUGAGGCUACCACGAAGAUGAACUCUCAGAAAUGGGAUUGUCACCCUCGAUGAGUUUCCAGUUCCCUCUCUGUUGUAUGAUGACACAAGAAGGUGAAGUGUUGCCUCUCUACAACUGGAAGAGGGAGAACCUGCCCCUGCUGCCACCUGAUCUUGUACUUCAACUUUUGGAACCGUGAAGGAAAAGUUCCUGUUGCAGGAGCCUUAUAGUGCACAGUACUUUUAGAGCAGUCUAAACUAAAUUGCAAUUAAAAGGAGAAAAAUGUGGUGAAAGAGUUUGGUAGAAAUAUGACCUAUUCCAUUCCAUUGUGCUUGUAGCUCAUGUGGCCAGUUUUUACAAUGAACUUAACAGGUAUCUGCAGGUCACCUCUGGCCAAAUCCUGUCACCUGGAAAAAAAACAAUCUCUGGAGUACAAGAUUCACUUGAGAAGUAUCUUGAAACUCUAGAGUCCUGGAUUUGUGGACUAGUGGUUAAGGGUAUAUACUGUGCUCGCAGAAGACCAUAGUUUGGUUCCUAGAACCCACAUCAGGUGGCUUACAACUGCCUGUGACUCCAGCUUCAGGAAGAACCAAUGCCCCUGGCAUCUGAGGGUACAUGCCCUUCUGUGCACAUUCCCACCCUACACAUGAUUGAAAAUAAUAAAAAUUAAGCCUAAAAAAUAACUAACUUUGAUUUUGCUAGAUUAAAUUAAAACAAAAACUGAACUCAUAUGGUAACUCCUGCCUCUGUGAAAGAAAGCAAACCACCAGCUUCCGUGUACUCUCUGGUCUAGCACAAACAGCACCUAAUCGCUGUCAGCACACAGGGAGCCUUGGCAUUUGUCAGCAUGCUCUAUUUUGAGAACUUUCUAGGUAGGUAAGAGUGUGUGGUACUUCUGAUACAUUCCAGGGCAUGAGAAGUAUCUAAAACCCCUUUGACAUCUUAGCCCAGUGGAGCAUUUCUUGGUAGGAAAUAACAAAGCAGUAACCAUUAUUCCCAAAUGUAUAGUGUUUCCAUCAAUGCUACUGUCAGUUUCAGGCAAUUUCAGGAAGCCGAGUUC
rnacentral:lncRNA from 1 species